GAAUUUCUUGAAGAACAAAUAGUAUAUUUUGGCCAGUUUUUUAGCACUGUAAGCUAGGCCCUUUGCUUUCACGGUCCUUCCUCUAUUCAUGCUUACUCAAGAGUCUUUCCUUCUCUUCUGCCUCCCUCCUCCUCUUCUCAUGAUUUGAGCAAUAGAAAUUCUCCCCUUUCAGGAACUUACAGUCCUUGUUAGUAGCAAGCAAGAAUGAAUUUUAAAUUCACCUGAAAUUGUUUUUCAAGUAGGAGGUCCUGUAAGCAUUGGUGGCCUUUUGGAAUCGAAGGGUCGUAGGUGGAAGUGCAUGGGACCCUUUAAGUAGGA